CUUGCAGGGUACUCGAGUGGCGAACGGGUGAGUAACACGUGGGUGAUCUGCCCUGCACUUCGGGAUAAGCUUGGGAAACUGGGUCUAAUACCGGAUAGGAACCAUCUUUAGUGUGGUGGUUGGAAAGUUUUUUCGGUGUAGGAUGAGCUCGCGGCCUAUCAGCUUGUUGGUGGGGUAAUGGCCUACCAAGGCGGCGACGGGUAGCCGGCCUGAGAGGGUGGACGGUCACACUGGGACUGAGACACGGCCCAG
rnacentral:rRNA from 1 species